rnacentral:rRNA from 14 species
CGUGCCAGCAGCCGCGGUAAUACGUAGGGUGCGAGCGUUGUCCGGAAUUACUGGGCGUAAAGAGCUCGUAGGUGGUUUGUCGCGUCGUCUGUGAAAUUCCGGGGCUUAACUCCGGGCGUGCAGGCGAUACGGGCAUAACUUGAGUGCUGUAGGGGAGACUGGAAUUCCUGGUGUAGCGGUGAAAUGCGCAGAUAUCAGGAGGAACACCAGUGGCGAAGGCGGCUCUCUGGGCCUUUCCUGACGCUGAGGAGCGAAAGCGUGGGGAGCGAACAGGAUUAGAUACCCUGGUAGUCCACGCCGUAAAC